rnacentral:tRNA from 1 species
AGGGUUGUGGCUCAGUGGUACAGCGUAUGCCUAGCAUGUAUGAGACACUGGGUUCAAACCUCAGCAUCUUAU